GGUUUUUCACUGAUGCAGGGAAUUCACAUGGUUUUUCACUGAUUGCAGGGAAUUCACAUGGUUUUUCACUGAUGCAGGAUUUCACAUGUUUUCACUGUGCAGGGGAUUCACAUGGUUUUUCACUGAUGCGGAAUUCACCUUGUUUUUCACUGAUGCAGGGAAUUCACAUGGUUUUUCACUAUGCGGGAAUCACGGUUUUCACUGAUGCAGGGAAUUCACAUGGUUUUUCACUGAUGCAGGGAAUUCACAUGGUUUUCCACUGAUGCAGGGAAUUCACAUUUGACAGACCAGAGUUGUGAUGACAUACUUACAAAAGAGCUGAAUUUAAACUGCUAUAUAAUAUACUGUUCUCCUGACCUGUUGGUAUCUGACCUUGAUCUCUUCAUGUCUGUUACUGUGUUACUCUGAUGCUCCCAGGCCCUGUCAACUCAUGGUUGGUUUGCAUUGCCGUUGUUAUGAAUAAAAAAACCUGACCCAAUGCUACUUGAAAAACGUUUUUUGGCAGAUGGAUGUUGAAUAUGCUACGUGUGUGUGUGGACACCCCUUCUAUUUCAGCCACAUCUGUUGCUGACACGUGUAGAAAAUCUAGCACACAGCCAUGCAGUCUCCAUAGACAAACAUUGGCAGUAGCCUAGUGGUUUAAAGCGUUGGGAGGUUUCUGGAUCGAAUCCUCGAGCUGACAAGUUCAAAUCUGUCGUUCUGCCCCUGAAAAGGCAGUUACACCCACUGUUCCCCUGAACAAGGCCGUUACACCCACUGUUCCCCUGAACAAGGCAGUUACACCCACUGUUCCCCUGAACAAGGCAGUUACACCCAUGUUCCCCUGAACAAGGCAUUACACCCACUGUUCCUAGGACGUCAUUGUAAAUAAUAAUUAGUUUAACUGACUUGCCUAGUUAAACAAAGGUUGAAAAAUGACCUUUAAGUGCUCCCGCAGGGCCCUGUUAGUAAAUUACUACACUUUCAGCACCAGGCGCUGUCCAUUUGAUUCAGUUCUUCUCUUGUUUUUAAUCAUGGACAUAUUCCCUCUCAUAUUGAAACUAAACUUCACAUGUUUGUUUUAAGCUGUUUAUGGGGAAUCAUUUAACCGCCGUAGGUUUGAGAUUCUUGUUUCCCAACGUUAGAAAAUAACCAUUGUACCCAUCACAUCCCACAUUAUGUUAACGAAAUCCCCAUGUAACUCGUGUUUUUGUGUCUGGAUUGGGAAGGUGUGAAACGCCUCCCUGUCCUACCACCCCAC
rnacentral:lncRNA from 1 species